ensembl:lncRNA
UACAGACUCUUGGUGUACCCACAGACUGCUGUAUGGACUCCAUACAUGUGUGCUGGACCCUGAAGAGCUUGUUAGCAACUGGAUUCCUGCCUAGAUGGGCAUGGUCAGAGUGAAUUACUGACUCUGAGAAGUGCAGGGCAACCAAAGGGACAGGAGUACAUGGCAUCCCAUGUCAGGGAACAAGGAACACCAACAUCUCCCAAAUUGAAGCCCUGUUUCACCCUGGUGGACUGUGCUGGUCGCUGCCUCGGGGACCUUCAUGGUGCUAAAUCAGCUACAUGACGGUGCUGCUUCUUCUUUCCUACUCUACUUCCUCUAAAAUGGAGCAAAGCACCCGAAGCAGAGAAUAUAAAGACAUUUCAGACUGCCCUUUUGGUGUGUGUUGGCCCUCCCAGGCAUCAUUUGUUUUCUAAGGAGCUCUAAUCCUGGUCUGAAGUGGCUCUAGCUCCAUGAAGAAGCUCAGCUCUGCCAAACACAGAGAGAGCAGUGUAAGCCAGGAGAGGCCGAAGAAGAUGGAUGCUUUUCCUCUUCAUCUCAAACUUGAAAACUCUGGAGAUGUUUUUUACUCAAACCCGGAAGGUUUACCCAGCGUGGACAAUUUCAGUAAAAAUCAUUUACUUCAG